AUUGAACGCUGGCGGCAUGCCUUACACAUGCAAGUCGAACGGCAGCACGGGAGCUUGCUCCUGGUGGCGAGUGGCGAACGGGUGAGUAAUACAUCGGAACGUACCCUGAAGUGGGGGAUAACGUAGCGAAAGUUACGCUAAUACCGCAUAUUCUGUGAGCAGGAAAGAGGGGGAUCGCAAGACCUCUUGCUUUAGGAGCGGCCGAUGUCGGAUUAGCUAGUUGGUGAGGUUAAAAGGGCUCACCAAGGCGACGAUCCGUAGCGGGUCUGAGAGGAUGAUCCGCCACACUGGGACUGAGACACGGCCCAGACUCCUACGGAGGCAGCAGUGGGGAAUUUUGGACAAUGGGCGCAAGCCUGAUCCAGCCAUGCCGCGUGAGUGAAGAAGGCCUC
rnacentral:rRNA from 1 species